rnacentral:rRNA from 1 species
GAUGAACGCUGGCGGCGUGCCUAAUACAUGCAAGUCGAGCGAACAGACGAGGAGCUUGCUCCUCUGACGUUAGCGGCGGACGGGUGAGUAACACGUGGAUAACCUACCUAUAAGACUGGGAUAACUUCGGGAAACCGGAGCUAAUACCGGAUAAUAUAUUGAACCGCAUGGUUCAAUAGUGAAAGACGGUUUUGCUGUCACUUAUAGAUGGAUCCGCGCCGCAUUAGCUAGUUGGUAAGGUAACGGCUUACCAAGGCAACGAUGCGUAGCCGACCUGAGAGGGUGAUCGGCCACACGGGAACGGAGACACGGUCCAGACUCCUACGGGAGGCAGCAGUAGGGAAUCUUCCGCAAUGGGCGAAAGCCUUACGGAGCAACGCCGCGUGAGUGAUGAAGGUCUUCGGAUCGUAAAACUCUGUUAUGAGGGAAGAACAAAUGUGUAAGUAACUAUGCACGUCUUGACGGUACCUAAUCAGAAAGCCACGGCUAACUACGUG